AACACAUGCAAGUCGAACGAAGCUGUUAUUUGGAGACCUUCGGGUGGAAGAAUGACAGACUGAGUGGCGGACGGGUGAGUAACGCGUGGGUAACCUACCUUGCACAGGGGGACAACAGUUGGAAACGACUGCUAAUACCGCAUAAGACCACAGUACCGCACGGUACAGGGGUAAAAACUGAGGUGGUGCAAGAUGGACCCGCGUCUGAUUAGCUAGUUGGUGGGGUAAAGGCCUACCAAGGCGACGAUCAGUAGCCGACCUGAGAGGGUGAUCGGCCACAUUGGGACUGAGACACGGCCCAAACUCCUACGGGAGGCAGCAGUGGGGAAUAUUGGACAAUGGGGGGAACCCUGAUCCAGCGACGCCGCGUGAGUGAAGAAGUAUUUCGGUAUGUAAAGCUCUAUCAGCAGGGAAGAAAAUGACGGUACCUGACUAAGAAGCCCCGGCUAACUACGUGCCAGCAGCCGCGGUAAUACGUAGGGGGCAAGCGUUAUCCGGAUUUACUGGGUGUAAAGGGAGCGCAGACGGCUUGGCAAGUCUGAAGUGAAAGCCCGGGGCUUAACCCCGGGACUGCUUUGGAAACUGUGAAGCUAGAGUGUCGGAGAGGUAAGUGGAAUUCCCAGUGUAGCGGUGAAAUGCGUAGAUAUUGGGAGGAACACCGGUGGCGAAGGCGGCUUACUGGACGAUAACUGACGUUGAGGCUCGAAGGCGUGGGGAGCAAACAGG
rnacentral:rRNA from 1 species